UACGUAGGGCGCAAGCGUUGUCCGGAAUUAUUGGGCGUAAAGAGCUUGUAGGUGGCUCGUUGCGUCGGGAGUGAAAACCUGCGGCUUAACCGCAGGCCUGCUUCCGAUACGGGCGAGCUAGAGUUCGGCAGGGGAGACUGGAAUUCCUGGUGUAGCGGUGAAAUGCGCAGAUAUCAGGAGGAACACCGGUGGCGAAGGCGGGUCUCUGGGCCGAUACUGACGCUGAGGAGCGAAAGCGUGGGGAGCGAACAGG
rnacentral:rRNA from 1 species